CUUUGGUAUGAAGGGGUCUCUUGCAGGUCCAAGAGUCUGGUCUCUCUGGAGAUCCCAAGACAUGAGGAGGAAGAUCCAAUGCUGCACCCCACAUGAACACUUCAUACUCUGGAACAUUGGAAUCAAAACUGAUGGCUUAAAAUGGAGAUUGGAGAGACAUGUAGAAAAGCCCAGGGGUUUUGGCUCAGAAAAAAACUCAAAGUGGGCUCCACCAAGAUGUCACCCGUCUCUGCAUCUUCUGGCUGUAUCCUCAGGAGUAAAAGUUCUAGAAUGCUUUUACUACUCAGACUCCCUGGAGGUUAGAAUAGAUGGAAAUGGACUUGAUUCAAGGGAUUUGAGACCAGUGUCCUGGCAGGGAAAGGAAAGAUGGGAAUUUUGACCAGGGGACCUGUGAAAUCAGGGGAUCCAAGCCGUAGGCUUGCCAUCCAGCACAGAUCUUACUUUCUAGAUGAUGCUACUGCCAUCCAAGGUGACAUUUUGCUUUGGUAAGUAGCCCUGGGUAGACAUUCUAGUCUAGAGGAGCAGAACACCAACAGAAGCAGCAAUUCUUCACAGUGGGAAGGCUGGAAAAGCCCUUGGAAUCGUCAUUCUUCCCUCCUUCCAUUUUAGAGAUUGGAAAGGAAAGCUCGGGCUGGGGAUGUGCCUCACCAAAGGCCAUGUGAAAGUCCUCAGAAGCCAGCAUGAAAUUGAUCCAGCUUUCUUAAACUAGUCCACCAAAGGGCAUCAGAUCCUAAAGGCCCAAGACUUCUCUGGGAACCUCAGGAGGAAGGGAGUCAAGGGUCCACUUCUGCCAAGCACUCUCUCAGUCCUGAUGCUGCCUUUGGACAGGAAUAGACCGCAAUGAAGGAGGGGCUUCAUGGGGCUGAGGGCACAGAAGGCAGGGAGUAUGAGGGAGUAUGACUGCUCUGAGAGUCUAGAAUUUCUUGGCAUGGGAUCCCACGGACACUGCACCCUCUUGGCCUUGAUCUACUAUAUGGAAAGACAGGUUUAGGAAAAUCAGGUAUGUACCAAUGUCUUUUGAGCGUUUACUAUGGAGUGGACUUUUGCUCAAUGCUUUAUAUACAUCGCUUUGUUUGACCUUGAGGCCUGUUUGAUAAAUAUGAUGAUUCCCAUUCCACAGAGGAGGAACUGAGACCCAGAGCUGAAGUAACUUAAGCAACAUUACACAGCUAGAAUGAUCAGGAUUCAACCCAGGACUCUUGAUGGCUCGCUAACUGUUUCUCCUAAUAAAAAAUAAAGUGAAGAAAGCACAGUAAGCUGUUGUGGAAAUCACCCUGGACCUGAGGUCUAAAGCACUUCCAUUUAACAGCUUAGUAACCUUGGGCAAGUUAUUUGGCUACUUUGAAUUAUAAGAUGCUUGCUUAGAAAGUGGGGAUAGUCACUCCUUUAUUUCAUAGUACGAGAUUAACGGGG
rnacentral:lncRNA from 1 species